AAAAAGAACACAAGUUUUCCCAGAAAGGACUUUGGGUUCCUGAAGCCAAUGAUUAACAAGCCUUUAAGUAGGCUCUACACUCAGGGUGGAGCCUGGUGCCAGGCUUGAAGGCGUGACCCUGAGAUCAAGACUUGAGAGGCUUCUACUGGUUGUUGCUUUCAGGUACCUUGAAGAAAUCAUUCUUUCCAACAUCACAUAAAAGAUGAAAUUCAUGUUCCAAUUUGACAGUGAUGGAAGAGAAUGGUUAAUUAUUUUUAUGUAUUUAACUUUAGAGUUAUUACUCUAUUAUAAAAUCACCUAAAUAAAAAUUCUUUAUUCUUUCAAGAA